AACACCCGCUGUUCCUCUGUAAUAAUCCAUAUAAACAGAUUAACAUGCUCUGCUUCACAGGGACUGGUGCGGCCGGUUGGGAUUCGGCUGCGCUCUUGCAAAGGGAAUCAAUGAAAACCAAAGCUAGGUCCCGGCUCAGGCUGGAGGUCGCGGCAACGCGGUAGUUGCGAGCUCGCGGGGCCGUCCCGCGCCUCGCCGACCUUGAACUCCGACAAGUCUUUCUCCAGCCCCCCACCCCCACCCCCCGCGACUCCCACCCUGCCGACGCUCCUCAGUGACAGGGCAAGUGCUUUAAAGUUCUGCUUUUCACCUCUGGCCGAGUCAGAACGACAGCAGAGCUGCCGCAGAAAAGAGUUUGCGUACUGCUCUGGCUUUGAGAAACCGAACUUUGCAAAUGUGGCUGUUCUGGGCCGCGAGGCUGAGGCCGGUCACUGGUUUGAAAAAGGCCAAACAAAUGCGCACCGCCGCAGACAAAACACUCCACUUCGGUAGAGUCGUGCUGCUUGCCUGCUUCCCCCCCCCCCCUUUUUUUUUUACAAAGCACCUGGAGCGGUGAAGCGCCGGUCGUCCCGACUUUAGUAGGCUCUUCUCUGACUUGUGGACAUUUGGGAGUUCUGGGGAGUGGGUGAGGGAGUCUCUGAUGUAUUUCGAGUGUGAUUUGAGCACAACCUUUGUGUUUACACGAACCGCUUAGAGCCUGGUUGGGUCUCUGUACUGGGGGAGAAGAAAAAUCUUAGUCGCCUGUGGGUUACAUGUCUUCAGAAUCACAAAUAAACGCACAACUGUGGAAAACUCAGUUUUAAAUCCCAUCCUCCCCUCCUUCUGGCUCUCGCCAGUGUUCGCCUCCGAAUUAAAUGACUGUUAUUGUGUAUCGGCCCGCAUUACAGCAAAGACUUGCUUAUUUCUCAUUUGCAAAUUGCGGACUCUAUUGCAAGAUUUCAGAGAAUGUUUCCUUAGAGGAAAAAUUUUAAAUCUCGUUUUCUCUCCUUUUCUUCCGAAGAAGUCGACAUUUGGUCUAGGAAAUGGAACUCUUCAGGAGGUAGGGGUGGCACUCUUGGAAACCUCCAAAAACAGCUUCAAGAGUCAAAACCCAGUGGUGCCUCCAGCUGGAAAAUGUAUGCCCAAUGGAAGACUCCUGUAGCAUCUCACACACUGUGAGCCUAAGACGGGUACCUAAUUCUUAGAGUCGAAUGGCAUGGCAGCCCUUUUUCUCCAUGAAAGAAAACACCCUGGGAGGUGGUAGGUUUCCUCUUGGGUUGCUCUCAAAUUAAUGACCUUGCCCUUUUCCAGCACUUUCCCCACUGAAAGGAUGCAAAAAUGCAGCACUAUUUAACAGAUUCAGGGAGGGAGUUCCCUGGUGGUCUAGUG
rnacentral:lncRNA from 1 species